rnacentral:rRNA from 1 species
UAGGGAAUCUUCGGCAAUGGACGAAAGUCUGACCGAGCAACGCCGCGUGAGUGAAGAAGGUUUUCGGAUCGUAAAACUCUGUUGUUAGAGAAGAACAAGGACGUUAGUAACUGAACGUCCCCUGACGGUAUCUAACCAGAAAGCCACGGCUAACUACGUGCCAGCAGCCGCGGUAAUACGUAGGUGGCAAGCGUUGUCCGGAUUUAUUGGGCGUAAAGCGAGCGCAGGCGGUUUCUUAAGUCUGAUGUGAAAGCCCCCGGCUCAACCGGGGAGGGUCAAUGGAAACUGGGAGACUUGAGGGCAGAAGAGGAGAGUGGAAUUCCAUGUGUAGCGGUGAAGUGCGUAGAUAUAUGGAGGAACACCAGUGGCGAAGGCGGCUCUCUGGUCUGUAACUGACGCUGAGGCUCGAAAGCGUGGGGAGCAAACAGG